AGUGUGAGUGUGUGUGUAUAUGUGUGUAGAUGACAAUCCCUGGAUUUACAUUUUCUGAUGGAUGGAGAAAUGAAUGCCAUGUGGUGCCUGAAGAGUAAUAACAGAGCCCAAUGACAAGGAAAGAAUGAGGCAGAAAUCUGAGAGAUACAAUGGGCAGCAGAAAAACGACCAGCAGUCAGCCUCUAAAAAACCGAAAUUGUGGCGCCACCUGCAGGAGACCAGAAAUAUCAGCAUCUCUUCAAGACACCGGCUGAACCUGGACCGGGAGGGGAGAGGAGGCAGACGUCUUCCGCAGUGUGCGACUGCAGCCCCAAGCUUCGGGUCACGAGGAUGCUGAAAUCAAAACAUUUCUCAAUUCCCUCUUGGCCCCUGUUUUCCAAGUUGUAUCCGUAGCUCCCCCCCGGGCAGGGUUUAUCCUAGCAUGACACACUCCAGCGUCCUUCAACUUGCAUCCUCCUUGAAACGAGCUAAUUCAAUUUUCCAUCCACUCUAUGCUAGUAAGAUGGCAUGGUGUUAAUAAUUCAGCCAACUAAAGGGAGCCUGUCUUUCCUCCAUUUCUUUAAGAGUUAAAUCAAUGUCCAACCCAACUCUGUUUGUUUCAAGACUCUGAGAACGGGACAAAUAAAUGGCUGAAAGAGGGAAGACCAGAGGAGAGGGAGCCGAGCUUUGUUUUCUGAUCACUGUCUGAUGCAGAAAAAUAAAGCCCCGUUUAUCAUACUGAUGUUACCAAAAUUCAUAAGGUUCAGCUGUGACCAUUCUCAGGUGUUACAUCACAAAGAGACAUUAGACAUCUGGUGGAAAGUGAGGAGAAAGGUUAGUGUAAACGGAUGCACAGGAGAAAAAAAAACAGAACCAAGAAAUCAAUAAUAUACAAUGACCACAGAAAUGCAAAUACAAACAACAUUAAAGUACACAAAAAUUCACAUUAAAUGCAUCAAGCAGUCUUGAUUCCAGAAGAAAGCUACUUAAAUAUACUCAGUACAGAGGUGGUGGACUACAGGUACAGAGUGCUAUAUCCAAAAUCACUGUCAAUCUGACGGUUUUUAAGGCAAUCUAGAUAAGGAGGUUUUGGCUCCAACAUGAUGCUUCACCCUACCUGAACACUGACUUUAUUUGAAGGCAACUGGGGUCUCAGCUGAAGAGCCCUGUUCCCUCCUCCAUAGCCCCCAGGCAGCUCCAUGGUACUUGAGGAUUGGCAACUGAAUUGGAGUUAAACAUGACUAAU